rnacentral:tRNA from 1 species
GCCCCAGUGGCGCAAUGGAUAGCGCGUCGGACUUCUAAUCCGGAGGUUGAGGUUCGAGUCCCUCCUGGGGUA